CAGAGGCUACAUACCCCCGCGGUGCUUGAUAGCUGGUUGUGUUUACCACCGAUCUUAGUCGGAAGAGCAUAAUUGCUACGAAAUUAUUAAAGGCAAAGCUUUAAUAAUUUUAUUCUAUCUAUCAAUAAUUAAGAUUCUUUAUAGGCUUAACACCAGCCACCUAAUCACGUUACUGUGUAAAAUCUAUUCAUCUAAUAAUUAUAACUCCUUGGUAAAACAAAACACAAUAUUCAUCUCUAAUGAAAUAAAUAUAAUGUUAUAACUAGUAUUAAAAUCUCACCCUCAUAUAAAAUAUAUAAACAAAUAUAUUUAAAUAUUCAACACACCAUAUUCAAAUAAGGAACUCGGCAAACACUUAUUCAGCCUGUUUAACAAAAACACCGCCUGUUGAAAAUAUAACAGGUCCAUCCUGCCCAGUGAAGUCUAUUUCAACGGCCGCGGUACC
rnacentral:rRNA from 1 species